UACGUAGGGUGCGAGCGUUGUCCGGAAUUAUUGGGCGUAAAGAGCUCGUAGGCGGUCUGUCGCGCCGAAUGUGAAAACCCGGGGCUCAACUCCGGGCUUGCAUUCGAUACGGGCAGGCUAGAGUUCGGUAGGGGAGUCUGGAAUUCCUGGUGUAGCGGUGAAAUGCGCAGAUAUCAGGAGGAACACCGGUGGCGAAGGCGGGACUCUGGGCCGAUACUGACGCUGAGGAGCGAAAGCGUGGGGAGCGAACAGGAUUAGAUACCCUGGUAGUCCACGCCGUAAACGUUGGGCGCUAGGUGUGGGGGUCCUUCCACGAUCUCCGUGCCGCAGCUAACGCAUUAAGCGCCCCGCCUGGGGAGUACGGCCGCAAGGCUAAA
rnacentral:rRNA from 1 species